rnacentral:lncRNA from 10 species
UCGGAAGCCUGUGAAUAUAUUACCUUACGUGACAACAGGGGCUUAGCAGAUGUGAAUAGAUUAAGGAUUCAGUGAGGGGGAGAUGAGCCUGGAUUAUCCAGGUGGGCCCAAUGUAAUCACAAGGAUCUCCAUAAGUGGAAGACAGGAGAGGCAAGUUCAGAGAAAAGUUGAUGUGAUAAAAGAAGGGCUGUUGCAGCAAUGCCAGAGGGAGGCCAGGAGCCAAGGAAUUCAGAUGACCUUUAGAAGCUGAAAAAGGGACCAAAACGAUUCUCUCCUAGAAGCUCCAGAAGGAAUGACUGCCAGCAUUUUGAUUUUAGCCCGGUAAAACUGACUUUGGACUCCUGCCCUCUAACCACUGUAUGAGAAUAAAUUUGGGCUGCUUUAGGUCACCAAGUUUCUUACAGUAAGAAUAUGAAAUUAAUACAACCACUAAGUCUUCGAGAGUGUUCGUUGCCACAUCAUAAUUCAUAAGCUCGAACCCAUGAGAUGGGUGUGUUCAGGGGAUGGCCCUGCCAGCUGAGCUGCUCCUCUUCUGCUGUGGCUUCAAGUACUUUCUCUGUGCUUCAGUUUCCUCAUUUGUAAAAUGGAGAGGAGGAGGAUGUUAAUUAUAGGACCCAAAUGAGUUAAUCUUCUUUUAGAAAACCCUUGGCACAGAGCAGUGAGAUGUGGAUAUAUAUAGUCAUAUAGAGAGAUAUACAUUGUGCAAGUUGUCAGAAUCAAAAUGGAGUCACUUAUGUUAAAAAAAAAAAAAAAACAAAAAACUUGGCAAAUAGAACCAAAGAAGGUCAUAAACAGAAGGCUCUCGUGUGCGAAUGCCCGAUGGCAAGAACAACCACGAAAGACUCUGCAAAAUCCACAACCUUGCAUAAAAGCCAUUGCAACCUCAAAAUACUUCUGCAAGGACAUCUGUCCAUCAACUGCCUGUCUGACUUCCGACUGACGUCACUCUUCUUAUUGGUACAUGUGGCCAAGGAUAAUUAUCUAAAAACAAUUAUGUGAUCAUCCUCACUUUUCCUUUUCAAACUUUUGCCUUCCUUUACUUUCCUGAAUAUGCACUUAGUUUGCUAUGCACAGGUAUUCCCACUGAGAUCCCUAUUCCUGAAUAAACAUCAUUUUCUUUUGUCUUUUCUUUAUUUUAAUUAGUUUUUUCUUUUCUUUUCUUUUUUUUUUUAGACAGGGCCUCACUCUGUCACCAAGGUUGGAGUGCAGUGGUGCGAUCUUGGGUUACUGCAACCUCUGCCUCCCAGGCUCAAGCAAUCCUCCCAUCACAAGUAGCUGGGACUACAGCACCCAGCACCGUGCCUGGCUUAGAGUGGAACAUUAUUAAAGAGACUAAGGAGUGGAUGGAGCUGAAUGUCAGUUAUUCCUCAUGCCUCAUACUUCCUUGUGGAGGAACUUCAGGUAGACUCACACUCCUGGCCUCUCUCCCCAUCCCUUGCCUGUGGGAAGAAGCAAGAUUCCUGCAAGCAGAAUCUGGGAUGAACAGUCUGCAUGCCUCUCGCCACCUGUCCCAGGGAUUCCCUGUUCCACAAGACACUUGGGAUCUGCUUGUCAUGCAUCAUGCGUAACUAAUAGUGCAGAGGAAUUAAUACAGUUAAGUGAAACGUCCGUCAGUGGGAAGCCGGAGCAAGGGAAAAUUCUCCUUCCUUUCCCCUCCUCGACUGCCCUGGUUUCAUGUGGCCUCAUGGCAGAAGCCCGCCAGACUGCUACCUGGAUGCAACCAGCUAAAUAACCUGCCCUCAUAUUGAUUCUCCCUCCUCCCCUGCUUCUCCACACUUUUCCCUCACUCUUGCCUUCCUGGGAUUGGACCCCUCAUAAAUUUCAUAACACAAAUCCUUGCCUCAGGCUCUGCUUUUUAGGGAACUCAAUCCAAGACAUUCUUGGUUAAAAUGAGGUCUAUGGUACACUCAGACACUGAAUAUAGUAGAGAUGAAAAAGUCUUGGCUAGUUUUCUGAUAACUGAAAAUGUAAUAUAUACUAAAUUAACUGAAGCUGUAAAACAACCGGUACCCCUCCAAGCAGAUUACGGUGACAGCUACUUUAGCCACAUAACACUAAUCAACUGCUCACACCAGAGAAUGAAAAUAAGAUAUUAGCAAAUAAACCAAGUUUAAGGCCUCACCACCUCUCAAAUACAAGAGAAUUGAAUCUUGUAUAAGAAUCUAAUCUUGCCAGGCACAGUGGC